GGGGGACACCAACAGAGAGGAAUUGGGGAGAAGAAGCAGAGCCAGAGAAAGAAACACUGAAAGAGCGCUGGGAGAGGUAGGAGGAGCACCAGGAGAGAGCAGUAUCUUGUAGACCGAUAUUGCGGAGGAUGAGAAGAAGCUGUUGAUGAUCAACAGUGUCAAAAGCUGCAGACAGGUCAAGGAGAAUUAGGAUAGAGUAGUGACC
rnacentral:lncRNA from 1 species